rnacentral:rRNA from 1 species
UACGGUCAUACCACUCUGAACGCGCUUGAUCUGAUUUGAUCUCAGAAGCUAAGCAGGGUCGGUCCUGUUUAGUACUUGGAUGGGA